rnacentral:lncRNA from 1 species
GAGAGGAUAUUGCUCACGCUUGCGGGGCGGUCUUUUUUUUUUCUGCGUGAGAGCGCCCUGGGUGUGUGUGUGAGUGUGUGUGCAGACUUCGUCACGGUUAACUCGCCACCUGCGAAAGCCGUGUUAUACACCUUCGUCUGUCGGGCUACCGUCACCCCGGAGAGGUGCGAGCGGAGGGAAGGAAAAAGCGGAGGUUUCUCUCCAGCGGAAAAGUAACGAAACCCGACGCGCCCGGCUCGGCUCGGCUCGGCUCGGCUCGCCCUGGUCGCCUGCACCGCUGCGAACUUGGCGCCAUGGGAUCCAAGGCGUGUAUCGAUUUCACCAAGUAUUUCCUCUUCCUGUUCAACCUCUUCUUCUUCGUAAGUAUGCUGUGCCGACACUCUGCUCGGAAAUUGUAGAGAACGAAGGAAAAAAAAAAAGACCUCCCAGCAUGCACCUGUCGGCAGUGAGUCAGGGGCCCGGGGGUUGCUGGGAGAUGUAGUUCUAGACUCUUAAUGUUGCUCGGUAAUUCGACUGGUGAAGCUGCAGUGUCUCACUUCUCCACCUGCUCCGCUGUGUGUAGUGGGGCUGCUGGUUCAGAAUGGCUCUCCUCUGUGCUGCUUCUGUUAACAUAAUGAUCUUUGUUAUCCAUAUGU